UACGGGGGGGGCAAGCGUUGUUCGGAAUUACUGGGCGUAAAGGGUUCGUAGGUGGCCAACUAAGUCAGACGUGAAAUCCCUCAGCUUAACUGGGGAACUGCGUCUGAUACUGGUUGGCUUGAGUGCAGGAGAGGAACGCGGAAUUCCAGGUGUAGCGGUGAAAUGCGUAGAUAUCUGGAGGAACACCGGUGGCGAAGGCGGCAUCCUGGACCGGUAUUGACGCUGAGGCGCGAAAGCCAGGGGAGCAAACGGG
rnacentral:rRNA from 1 species